rnacentral:rRNA from 1 species
AGUCGAGCGGUAGCACAGAGAGCUUGCUCUCGGGUGACGAGCGGCGGACGGGUGAGUAAUGUCUGGGAAACUGCCUGAUGGAGGGGGAUAACUACUGGAAACGGUAGCUAAUACCGCAUAACGUCGCAAGACCAAAGUGGGGGACCUUCGGGCCUCAUGCCAUCAGAUGUGCCCAGAUGGGAUUAGCUAGUAGGUGGGGUAACGGCUCACCUAGGCGACGAUCCCUAGCUGGUCUGAGAGGAUGACCAGCCACACUGGAACUGAGACACGGUCCAGACUCCUACGGGAGGCAGCAGUGGGGAAUAUUGCACAAUGGGCGCAAGCCUGAUGCAGCCAUGCCGCGUGUGUGAAGAAGGCCUUCGGGUUGUAAAGCACUUUCAGCGGGGAGGAAGGCGAUGAGGUUAAUAACCUUGUCGAUUGACGUUACCCGCAGAAGAAGCACCGGCUAACUCCGUGCCAGCAGCCGCGGUAAUACGGAGGGUGCAAGCGUUAAUCGGAAUUACUGGGCGUAAAGCGCACGCAGGCGGUCUGUCAAGUCGGAUGUGAAAUCCCCGGGCUCAACCUGGGAACUGCAUUCGAAACUGGCAGGCUAGAGUCUUGUAGAGGGGGGUAGAAUUCCAGGUGUAGCGGUGAAAUGCGUAGAGAUCUGGAGGAAUACCGGUGGCGAAGGCGGCCCCCUGGACAAAGACUGACGCUCAGGUGCGAAAGCGUGGGGAGCAAACAGGAUUAGAUACCCUGGUAGUCCACGCCGUAAACGAUGUCGAUUUGGAGGUUGUGCCCUUGAGGCGUGGCUUCCGGAGCUAACGCGUUAAAUCGACCGCCUGGGGAGUACGGCCGCAAGGUUAAAACUCAAAUGAAUUGACGGGGGCCCGCACAAGCGGUGGAGCAUGUGGUUUAAUUCGAUGCAACGCGAAGAACCUUACCU